rnacentral:rRNA from 1 species
AGGUUCGAUUCUGGCUCAGAACGAACGCUGGCGGCAUGGAUUAGGCAUGCAAGUCGAACGAAGUAGCAAUACUUAGUGGCGCAAGGGUGAGGAACGCGUGAGUGACUUACCCGCAAGUUUGGAACAGCUCCUGGAAACGGGAAUUAAUACCGGAUGUGAUCAACGGGCUGCAUGGUCUGUUGAUUAAAGCAGUAAUGCGCUUGCGGAUGGGCUCGCGUCCCAUUAGCUAGUUGGUGAGGUAACGGCCCACCAAGGCCAUGAUGGGUAGCUGGUCUGAGAGGACGACCAGCCACACUGGGACUGAGAACUGCCCAGACUCCUACGGGAGGCUGCAGUCGAGAAUUUUGGGCAAUGGACGAAAGUCUGAACCCCCAGCAAUGCCGCGUGCGGGAUGAGGGUCUUCGGAUUGUAAACCGCUGUUUGGAGGGACGAAACUUGACGGUACUUCCAGAGAAAGCCACGGCUAACUACGUGCCAGCAGCGGC